rnacentral:lncRNA from 1 species
CUUUGAUUCAAACAAAAUUUUGGAGCGUUAGAAUUCUUAGAAUUUUUUCUAAGUGGGUCAUUUGAUUUGUAAGAUUGAAUCCUACACUAACCUUUACUAAGAACUCAUUUGUACUACAUUUCAUAAUUUUUUUUUUCAUCCACUGUAACCUCUCGAUAAUAUAUUUAAUAUCUAAUUAAAGUAGCAAAAAAUCUACGAAUCAGAUUUACCCAAAGUUAUCGUAGGGUCCAAAUUUGUCUUAACUCAAAGAAAAAUCAGAUUUAAGUGCCAUGUCUGAUCGGAAAGCAAUCGAAAAAAAAAGAACUUAAAAGGAGUCCGAGCAGAACUCUGCAUGCGAAGUACUCCUCCAAGCCGACCCCUCGCUACUCAAACUCCCAGACACCACAUCGCCGCACACAAGGCGUGACACCAGGUCAAUACUUACUACUUGCCUGAUUUCCUCCUCCACUGCUGAACUGUGUGCAUGGGUCCACGAAUUGAACGAUGCACAAAGUCUUUGAAUUUGUUCCGAACAGUGUUAAAUACAUCAAGAUUAAACAAAACAACUCGGAAAGAAAAAAUUGAUAAACAAAUAGCUACUCCCACCACCUCAUAUUAAGUGUUCUAAAUUUGUCUAAAUAUGGAUGCUUUUAGUUAUCAAACAAACCGACUUGGAAAGAAAAAAUAAUAAACAAAUAGCUACUCCCCCGUCUCAUAUUAAGUGUCUUAGAUUUGUCUAAAUAUGUAUGUUUCUACAAACUAAAAAAAAGACGUGUCUAGAUACAUGUAAUAUUUCGACACUUGAUAUGGGAUGGAGGAAGUACUAACAACCAUCCGAUCCAAUGUCUGAGAUUCGUACGAGAUUCAUAUAAAUAUAAAAUGAUGAGAAAAUAUUAAUUGGAUCCCUAUGAUCAUCAACUGAGAAAUAACUAUUUCUAAAUCGUCGAGAAAUAGACACCCCCUUUCUAAUUUCAAGGCAUUUUUUGUUGAUCCUAGGAUUGGUGCACCUAGGGCAUGCUGGGAAACCACACCGUCUAUCGAGUCAUGAACUGUUAAAAAAAAGUAACAAUUUGUCGGUAAAAAUAAAACCGGUAAUACAAAUUAGUAAAAAGUUCAAACCAGCCCAUCAUCCAUAGUAAUUAAGUGAGAUUUGUAUCAAACGUCGGCUCAAACGCAAUGCUUACUGCCCAAUCCGUACAAAAAUAGUAAUCAUCGAUUAAAAAUAUAUAUCUGCCGUCGAUGUCUAACUCUUAUAAUAAAAAAUUGCAGUAAAAAAAAUCAAGCUCAACACUUUCGUACUCAGCAACAUCCACGACCAUAUGAUGCACAAAUGAGCCAAAAUACUGAUUCAAACUGCCUCAUAAUUUAUUUACUGGUUCAAACACAAAUAUAAUUCGGUAUGAAAAGUUCAACGAGAACGGGUUCAAAAACAAAGAUAAUUAUGUAGUAAUUUUAUACCCGAUCCGGCCGAUCAUACAACGUUUAAUAUAGAAUCAUAAUAUUUUGAUACCAUCUAUCGGCCACGGUGAGGAAACUAUAAACCUUGAACCGAAUCGAAUCAAGUCCUAGCCUUACUAAGUCGAGAAAAUCGAGCAACAAUGUGUCUACUCCCUCUCUGUAAUAAAACUUGGACGAAAUUGAAUCAAGUCCUAGCCUUACGAAGUAGAUAAAAUCGAGCAACAACAUGUCUACACCCUCUCUGUUAGUUUGCAUACGUUUUUCAACUCAACUUUCGAUUUAAUAAAGUUCUAGACUUCUGUAUUGCCAAGCAUGUCAAUAAAAUACAACUCUUUUGCUAAAAUAUGUAUCGACUAUCUAAUUUACAAUAUAAUGUAUUAUUUAUUUAAACCAAUCAAUCAGAAAAUGAUAUCACCAAAACAUAAGUAAAAAAGCUUAGUGUUUUGGCUAGGUAAAAUAAAAUAAAAUAUAUAACGGACCAGAAUAUUCAAAAAUCAAAUUGGAUAUAGAAUCAGUCUAUUAGAAAAACAAAAAAAUAAAAUAUAUAAUACUCUUUAGUACAUAAGUAUAGCCGCGCAAUCUGCGCGGGUCAUCACGCUAGUUUUUUGAAACUUGGAAGAUAAUACUCCAUGAAGAUAGUACACAUGAAACCUUCGAAAAAAAUUCUCCAGUAUAAAAUUCAGCUGCAUGAAUCGAACGAGCAACAUAUGAAUCGAACGAGCAACAUAGGAAAAUUUUCUGAGGAUUUCAAUCCUAUAAAUUUCCAAAAAUCUUUUGAAUCAAAGGAGCCUUUUGCAUAUCAAAACCUCUAGGAAUAGAUUGAACAUGAUAUUUGCAAUUCUCCAUUUUUCACAUACCUGUGUUUUUCAAUCCUAUGAAUCAAACACAUUCUGAAGUUUAGGAACGAUCCGACAACGAUGAUACGCGACACUGCGACAGCCGUGACUGGGUAGUCAAGUCAGAGGGAAUCUUUCUAUUAUGCGUAGGAUAUCAUGCAAAUCAAAGGACAAACGUAGAAAUAUCAUGCACAGGAUAAUAAAGCGGCAUAAGCAACCUUACAAUUUAGCCCAUUUUCAACUUGCAAUCUUGCAUACACAAUAGUAUGAGAAGGGUAUAUAUAGGCAUCUGCCACGUACUAGUACAUCACGAUCGCGCGCGCGCACACACAAUACCCGUACGCGUAGUCGCGUAUACAUACACAGGUGUACGCUUACGUACGUAGUGCCGCGUACGACGUACAUGCGGCUAGCUCAUACACAGGCGCGUUAAUUAGUACACGAGCGGCUUGUUCGCGCGGAGGUCGCGGAAGUACCCCCGCGGAUUCCCCUCGAACGCGCCCCGCGGCAUGCGCGCGCCGCCCCGCCCAGGGGCCACCAUCGUCGUCCGGCGCCCGCCGCCGCGGCCGCGCCCGCUCCUGCAGCAGCAGCAGCAGCGGCAGCAGCAGAACAGCGCGAGGGCGCCGAGCGCGGCCGGGGCCGCCACGGUGAACGCGACGUGCAGCCAGCGCCCGAGCGUCUCCGAGCGGGUCUCCGGCGGGAAGAGCUCGUCGGCCUUCUCGGAGAGCGCGGCCAAGAGGCCCGUGAAGAAGGGCGCGAGCUCGGCGGCUUUCGCCUUGAUGAGCUCCCACAGGCCGGCGAAGUCGUCGAUGUCGAAGCCGAGGCUGAAGCCGGCGGCGGUGCGCUGCAGGGCUGCGCCGCUCGGCAGGAGGAGCCGCCUCGCUGCUGCGGGUGCCUUUGGGAAAGCCAUUGUUUGCUCCUCUCUGCUGUCUGCGCUUGGGGGACGGGCAGAGGAUGAGGAGAGACUAGUGCUUGCGAGAUAAAGUGAUUUUUUUCCCCCUUCCAACAAGUGCUAGUUAAAUAGAGCAGCACAACCAGCUCGAUCAUUAGUUUUUUUUAGGAGUUUUGAGAUAUUCCCACAUGUGUAAGUGGGUGGCCGGGGCUCUGCAUCGAUCAAUCAUUUACGCAGAGGGAAAUUAAACAAGAAAUCCCAAAAUACACACGACGCGAUCGAUCGCAAGAUUUGUUUCUCGAGGGAAACAGAGUAGAUGUAAUAACAGCUUAACACUUGCAUAAUUUACAGGAGCAAACUUCCUUGGACAACGACACACUUAAGACGAUCUGGACUCUGGAGCUAGCUAGCACCAACUUUUGGGUAGGGGUGCAACUCAGGUACAGGUAACCGUUGACCCUCCUUUGAACGAACUAGUUUUCUAAAAAAUUAUGUUAUUUUAAAAUUUUAGUUCAUUUAGUUGAACUAAAGAGGAUCAAUGGGUACUCUGAGGGCACAAUUUGGGCACAAUUUUGCAGGUCUACUUUCGGGUCAUGCUUAGUUGCUUAGUGCUUACACGCUCUAAAGUCCAAGAUCAGCCCAUACUUACUACUUAUAAAGCCCCAGCUGCUACUGCCUUGGAUUACAUCACACACACUUACGUACUGCUAAGGACUACUAAAUACAAAAGACGACAUCACUCCUUAACAAGUGAGUUACUACGUUGACGAGCGCACGGUGCCUGCACGUCAAUCUACGCGACGAAGGCGAAGGCAGCCGCCGCCGCCUUAGCUCCGACCGUGCGAAGCAGCUCGAAGUAAAGCUGUGGGUUGGCCUCGAAGGCCGCCCUCGAGAUGAAGUACCCGGCGGCGCCCGGCGCCUUCAUCAUGGCGCCGGCAGUGACGACGGCCGCGGGCCAAAAGACGUAGGCGCCUACGGCGACUGCUCCCACGGCCACCGCUGCCGCGACGCCAUGGAAAGCCAUUGCUAGCUCGAUCUUCUACUUGAAUGUUGUGUGGGUGUGGCUAAAGCUUGCUUUAGGUUUUUGUGUGGAAUCGAUCGACCGCGAGAGAAAUGGAGUAGAACUGCCCAGCCAUGUGUGGUUACUUGUACACAUAUCGAUCGAGUACGUACGUGGAGUCGGUCCCUGACCGAGCUCACCGAUCAACCGACCGAUCGACGCGUGGACAGUGGCCGGAGACGGUGGCAGAUCCAGCGAGGGCCGUGUGUCCGACCAGGAGGCCACGUCAGUUAGAGUUGUAAAAUUGUUCGGCGUGGUAGUCUCUGGUAGUAAUAUCUUCUCGUAGAACCUACGACCCUACAAAUGCAUUCCUGCGCCCUGUUUGCCGUGAGAAGGCUCCGUACGCGGAGUCACUGAUCUGAGAUGAAAACGUGACGUGCAGAAAGUUGAUCGGGGC